UGUUUAAUCAGAAUAUUUUGUUCUGCUUUGUUUUGUUAUCGCCAGGGCAUACUUUUGCAGACAGAGUCAGAAAGGCAGGAAGCAGGAGGAAGCCACAGCACUGAAGCUCCCUUCACUGUGGUCGGGGCAAGGCUCAGACUUGGAUCAUGAGCAUGGGAAAGCAACACACUAUCCAAGACAUCUAGUGCAUACUGUUUCAGAUAAUAUAAAGGGAAAUAAUCCACUACUAUUUGGAGUCUCUUGAUUGCCAGCCAUCAGAUCUCCCCUCCAGCAGACUAUUCCCCAUCUAACUCAGGUUAUUGCUGGGCUCCGUGCCCGCACCAUGAAUCCACCGCUCCUGGAGGCCACCUCCUUCCCCCUUUGCUGCCCCCGCUGUUGCAGCCUCGCUGUGGUCACCACCAUUGCCAUCAUUGACGCCGUUUGCCGUUGGACAGGACAGAGAGAAAUGGGGAGAGGAGGGGAAGACAGAGAGGGGGAGGGAAAGACAGAUACCUGCAGACCCACCCCACCGCCCGUGAAGCGACUCCCCUACAGGUGGGGAGCCAGGGGCCCGAACCGGGAUCCCCAGGCCGGUCCCUGCGCUCCGUGCCACAUGCGCCCAACCCACUGCACCACCGCCCAACCCCAAAAAACUUUCUUUUUAAAAAAAUAUUUAUUUAUUUAUACCCUUUUGUUGCCCUUGUUUUAUUGUUGUAGUUGUUAUUGAUGUCGUUGUUGUUAUUGUUAUAUUGUUAUUGUAGUUAUUGAUGUCAUUAUUG